GACGAACGCUGGCGGCGUGCCUAAUACAUGCAAGUCGAACGCUUCUUUCCUCCCGAGUGCUUGCACUCAAUUGGAAAGCGGAGUGGCGGACGGGUGAGUAACACGUGGGUAACCUACCCAUCAGAGGGGGAUAACACAUGGAAACAGGUGCUAAUACCGCAUAACAGUUUAUGCCGCAUGGCAUAAGAGUGAAAGGCGCUUUCGGGUGUCGCUGAUGGAUGGACCCGCGGUGCAUUAGCUAGUUGGUGAGGUAACGGCUCACCAAGGCCGCGAUGCAUAGCCGACCUGAGGGGGUGAGCGGCCACACUGGGACUGAGACACGGCCCAGACUCCUACGGGGGGCAGCAGGAGGGAAUCUUCGGCAAUGGACGAAAGUUUGACCGAGAAACGCCGCGGGGGUGAAGAAGUUUUUCGGAUCGUAAAACUCUGUUGUUAGAGAAGAACAAGGCCGUUAGUAACUGAACGUCCCCUGACGGUAUCAAACCAGAAAGCCACGGCUAACUACGU
rnacentral:rRNA from 1 species